CAUUAGAUGACUGAAAUGCAAGUUCUGGUCUCUUAAACCAUAUUAUAGUAAUUUAGCACCUACUUCUAAUGG
rnacentral:tRNA from 2 species